rnacentral:rRNA from 1 species
AUGGAGGAGUGGUUAAGCCUGUGUUGCAUAGCCCUAUCCACGGUGCUUGCCCUUUGGUUUCUCAAGCUCAACGGCGGAACGAAAAAGUUCAAGAAGCAGCAGCUACCUCCUGGGCCAUGGACUCUCCCGGUCAUCGGCAGCCUCCACCACGUCGUCAGCCUCCUCCCACACCGCAGGAUGAUGGACAUGUCUCGCCAGCACGGCCCGCUGAUGCACCUGGUGCUGGGCGAGGUCCCCACCGUGAUCGUCUCCAGCGCGGAGGCCGCGGAGCUGGUGAUGAGGACCAACGACCUCGCCUUCGCAACCCGGCCGGGGACCCCGACGCAGGACAUCUUCGGGUGCGGCGGCAAGGACGUCGUCUUCGCGCCCUACGGCGAGCACUGGCGCCAGAUGCGCAAGGUGUGCGUCGUGGAGUUCCUCAGCUCCAGGCAGGUGAAGCGCAUGGAGGGCAUCAGGGCGGAGGAGGUGGGCAGCCUCCUCCGCUCGAUCGCCGCCGCCGCGGCCGCCUCGACCAGCGGCGGCGCCGCCAUUAUUAACUUCAGUCAGGAGGUGGCGGCGCUGAGCAACGACGUGGUGACGCGGGCGGUUUUCGGCGGCAAGUUUGCGCGGCAGCGCGAGUACAUCCGUGAGCUGGGCAGGGCGCUGGAGCUGAUGGGCGGCUCCUGUCUCGUCGACAUCUUCCCGUCGUCGCGGUUGGCGCGGUGGCUGAGCCAUGGCGGCCGCAGCAUAAAGAAGAGCUCCGCCUGCAUCAAGCGCAUCAUUUCAGGCAUCAUUGAGGAGCGGCAGGCCGCGCGAGCUGCUGCAAGCGAUGGUGCCUGUAGCAGCACCAGCGUCGAUGAGAACUUCCUGGACGCGCUGCUCAGGCUUCAGCAGGAGGGCUCUUUGGAAAUCCCUCUAACCACGGACGCUAUAGGCGCCGUCUUGUCUGACAUGUUUGCAGGUGGCACCGAAACAAUAGCAACCACCUUGGCGUGGGCUAUGUCGGAGCUCGUGCGCAGCCCAGAAAUUAUGGCCAAGGCACAGCAAGAAGUAAGGGAGGUGCUAGGUGAAGGUCGGUCUGUCAUUACUAAUAGUGAUCUCACUAAACUCCGGUACCCAAAGUUGGUCAUCAAGGAGGUCCUUAGGUUGCAUCCGGCCUCUCCUCUGAUCCCGCGCGCGGCUAGAGAGGAUUGUACAGUUAUGGGUUAUGACAUACCUAAAGGCACCAAUGUUUACAUUAACGUCUUUGCGAUAUCUCGAGAUCCCAAAAACUGGAACAGUCCUGGAGAGUUUAAGCCAGAGAGGUUUGAGGACACCCAGGUGAACUUCAAUGGAACAUACUUCGAAUUCAUUCCCUUCGGGGCCGGGCGACGGCAAUGCACCGGGAUUCAGUUCACCUUGUCACUUGCGGUGAUGGCAUUGGCAAACUUUUUGUAUCACUUCGACUGGAAGCUUCCUGAUGCGUCUAGCCUCGCUUCAUUUGACAUGUCCGAGAAAUUUGGGAUUACGGUAUGCAGAAGGUAUGACCUGAAACUCAGAGCUGUUCCACACGUGUGGCCCAACGCUACGCUGUCCGAGUGA